AAAAAAAAAAAAAACACCGAAGCAAAUGUGGAUAUAGCAUUUGGGCUCAAUAUGGGCUUUAUUUCAAUUACUUUUGGGCCUCAUUGUAAUUUUUUCAUAGCAAAUACGUUUUAUGUAUGUAUAAAAACAGUUUUGACAACCCACGUCUAAACCAUCAUCCACUAGUGCUACUACACCCAACUGGACCAAAUGUUGUGAACUAAUAAUACAUAUGUCUCAAAUACCUUAAAGUCAAAAUGUUACGAAGAUGAGCCAACUAGUAUGAUGCAUGUCUGAAAGAAGUUAAAUACACAUGUACAGUCACAAGUUUUCAUCAUUCCAUACAUAACAAGAACAUAAAGCAUAAAUAUAUUUGGACAUUGAAGAAGAGGCAGUAGAUAGAGGACGUGUACAUUUAAUCACAGGCUUAUGACUCCAAACA
rnacentral:lncRNA from 1 species